rnacentral:rRNA from 1 species
AGAGGUCACUGAUAUCGGGGUUCGAUUAAGCCAUGCGAGUCGAGAGGGUUCGGCCCUCGGCGUACUACUCAGUAACACGUGGAUAACCUGCCCUAAGGAAGGGGAUAACCUCGGGAAACUGAGGAUAAUACCCUAUAGGUUACAGACGCUGGAAUGCCCUGUAACCGAAAGUUCCGGCGCCUUAGGAUGGAUCUGCGGCCGAUUAGGUUGUUGUUGGGGUAACGGCCCAACAAGCCGAUAAUCGGUACGGGUUGUGGGAGCAAGAGCCCGGAGUUGGAUUCUGAGACAUGAAUCCAGGCCCUACGGGGCGCAGCAGGCGCGAUG